UAUUUUCCUUUUUUUCCCUCAGCCGCGGUAAAACGUAGGUCACAAGCGUUGUCCGGAAUUACUGGGUGUAAAGGGAGCGCAGGCGGGAAGACAAGUUGGAAGUGAAAUCUAUGGGCUCAACCCAUAAACUGCUUUCAAAACUGUUUUUCUUGAGUAGUGCAGAGGUAGGCGGAAUUCCCGGUGUAGCGGUGGAAUGCGUAGAUAUCGGGAGGAACACCAGUGGCGAAGGCGGCCUACUGGGCACCAACUGACGCUGAGGCUCGAAAGUGUGGGUAGCAAACAGG
rnacentral:rRNA from 1 species